rnacentral:lncRNA from 1 species
GAGGACGGAUAGCAUUAGGAGAUAUACCUCAUGUAAAUGACGAGUUAAUGGGUGCAGCAUACCAACAUGGCACAUGUAUACAUAUGUAACAAACCUGCACAUUGUGCACAUGUACCCUAAAACUUAAAGUAUAAUUUUAAAAAAAAGUUCUAAAAUACAACCACAACAACAAAAAAAGACAUGGAAAAAUAAAUAAAUAAAUAAAUAAAUAAAUAAAUAAAGAGCUCCGGUUCCGAUGGAUCUACCACUGACUGGCUGUGUGACACCACAGAAAUCUCCUAACCUCUCUGGGGCCUUGGUUUCCUCAUUUGCAAAGGAGGAAAAGAGCAGCAUCAACUGCAGGGUUGCUCAGCCUCACCACUACUGACAUUCAGGCCAGACAAUUCACCGCUGUAAGGGCCUGCCUGUGUGCUGCAGGGUGUUAAGCAGCAUCCCCAGCCUCUACCCACUGGAUGCUGGUAGCACCUCCCCAAUCAGGAUGUAACAACCAAAACCAUGUCCAGACACUGCCAAAUGUCUCCCAGCACACUUCCAGUUGAAAACCACUGAUCUACUGCAGGAGUCCUUGGGAGGAUUCAACGGAUUCCCGUAUGAGAAGUGGUGGUAUGGUGCUGAAACCUAGCAAGUGUUCACGAAAGGUUUGCUAAAUAAAUCCACAAAAUAAAGGGAGGAAAAGCUCCUGCAAGAAUGACAAUGGCACUUAGCAGACUGCCAUUUUGUGAAUUUAACCAGCCAUCACUUUAGCCCAAGAACCUCCAUCUAUUCCCCCUUUCCUCCCGCCAAAAGAAGCUAGGGCCUGGGUCUCCCGAGUAAUGUGGGCAGAAAGGCCCUGCAAAUGGGACAUGACUGCCUCGAUGGAUUUAAUGGUGCUUUUUAAAUGUGGAUAAUUAUAGGGCCUCUUCUAAGCAAGUGCACCAGUGGGGGGAGGCUGUGGGCUCUGGGGCACUGUGGGCCCGCAUAGCUCAGCUCCGUGGAGCUGAUGGUAAUGUUAUUAAAUGUGCUCUCUCCUUUUAUUAGGCAUCUUAAUAACCUCUAAGUUGCACCCAGGAGAGUUGGUGCAGAAAAGGAAUUCUGGCCAACCUAAUUUGUAUUUGAAAAUACCCCAUAGGCCAACGGAACAAGAUUCAGAUGAAUUUCACAGGCAGCUGAGGGCUACACAAGGAAAAUAAUGAUGUGAACUCAUACUUAUCAGCUAUCUGAUACCCUGAGCCAGACCCCGGUGUAUUCCUCACAACACCCCAAAAGUUCUGGAGAUGAGAAGUCCAAAAUGAGUCUUAAGAGGAUAAAAUCAAAGUAUUGACAGGGCUAGUUCCUUCUGAAGGUUCCAUGGCAGAAUCCAUUCCUUGCCUCUUCCAGAUUCUAGAAGCUGCAGGCAUUUCUGAGCUUGGACUGCAUCAUUCCAGCCUCUGCUUCCAUCAUCACAUAGUUAUUUUCUGUCCCUAACACCUCUUGCGUCUUUCUUACAAGGAUAUUUGUGAUUACAUCAGUCCUGCCCAGUUAAGCCUGGAUAAUUUUCCCCAUUACAAGAUCUUUAACACAAUCAUCUAUGCAAAGUACUUUUUGCCAUAUAAGGUAACAUUCACAGCUUCCAGGAAUUAAAACAUGGACAUAUUUGGGGGAGUCAUUAUUCAGCCUACCAUAGACAUCCAGGAAGAGAUGUUCUAUAAGCAGUUGAAAAUGUAAAUCUAGGCCAGGUGCAGUGGCUCACGCCUGUAAUCCCAGCACUUUGGGAGGCCGAAGUGGGUGGAUUGCUUGAGGUCAGGAGUUCGAGACCAGCCUGGCCAACAUGGUGAAACCCCAUCUCUACUAAAAAUAAAAAAAAAUUUAAAAAAUUAGCCGGGC